GACGAACGCUGGCGGCGUGCCUAAUACAUGCAAGUAGAACGCUGAAGAGAGGAGCUUGCUCUUCUUGGAUGAGUUGCGAACGGGUGAGUAACGCGUAGGUAACCUGCCUUGUAGCGGGGGAUAACUAUUGGAAACGAUAGCUAAUACCGCAUAACAAUGGAUGACACAUGUCAUUUAUUUGAAAGGGGCAAUUGCUCCACUACAAGAUGGACCUGCGUUGUAUUAGCUAGUAGGUGAGGUAAUGGCUCACCUAGGCGACGAUACAUAGCCGACCUGAGAGGGUGAUCGGCCACACUGGGACUGAGACACGGCCCAGACUCCUACGGGAGGCAGCAGUAGGGAAUCUUCGGCAAUGGGGGCAACCCUGACCGAGCAACGCCGCGUGAGUGAAAAAGGUUUUCGGAUCGUAAAGCUCUGUUGUAAGUCAAGAACGGGUGUGAGAGUGGAAAGUUCACACUGUGACCGGAGCCUUACAGAAAAGGACGGCCCACUACCUGCCACCAGCCGCGGGAAUACCUAAGUCCCGAGCGUUGUCCCGAUUUUUUGGGCGUAAAGCGAGCGCAGCGGUUUGAUAAGUCUGAAGUUAAGGCUGUGGCUCAACCAUAGUUCGCUUUGGAAACUGUCAAACUUGAGUGCAGAAGGGGAGAGUGGAAUUCCAUGUGUAGCGGUGAAAUGCGUAGAUAUAUGGAGGAACACCGGUGGCGAAAGCGGCUCUCUGGUCUGUAACUGACGCUGAGGCUCGAAAGCGUGGGGAGCGAACAGGAUUAGAUACCCUGGUAGUCCACGCCGUAAACGAUGAGUGCUAGGUGUUGGAUCCUUUCCGGGAUUCAGUGCCGCAGCUAACGCAUUAAGCACUCCGCCUGGGGAGUACGACCGCAAGGUUGAAACUCAAAGGAAUUGACGGGGGCCCGCACAAGCGGUGGAGCAUGUGGUUUAAUUCGAAGCAACGCGAAGAACCUUACCAGGUCUUGACCUCCCGAUGCUAUUUCUAGAGAUAGAAAGUUACUUCGGUACAUCGGUGACAGGUGGUGCAUGGUUGUCGUCAGCUCGUGUCGUGAGAUGUUGGGUUAAGUCCCGCAACGAGCGCAACCCCUAUUGUUAGUUGCCAUCAUUCAGUUGGGCACUCUAGCGAGACUGCCGGUAAUAAACCGGAGGAAGGUGGGGAUGACGUCAAAUCAUCAUGCCCCUUAUGACCUGGGCUACACACGUGCUACAAUGGUUGGUACAACGAGUUGCGAGUCGGUGACGGCGAGCUAAUCUCUUAAAGCCAAUCUCAGUUCGGAUUGUAGGCUGCAACUCGCCUACAUGAAGUCGGAAUCGCUAGUAAUCGCGGAUCAGCACGCCGCGGUGAAUACGUUCCCGGGCCU
rnacentral:rRNA from 1 species